GUUGAUCAUGGAAACCAUCUUUAUAUUGCUUACCUGAUUCCCAACGGAAACGUGUGUAAAUAAAGAAUGGGAGACUGAACAGAAAUUGGCGAUCAUCUGGGAAGCCCUAUCCAAACUUGAGAUUCUCAACCCCUUCUGUGCACACCAGUGGCCACCCAGCCUGUUCUCACUGAGAGCACACACCCAAACUUCUUCAUAGGAAGGGUCUGCUGGGAACCAAGACUUGGAAAACACAGGGAUUUGCCCUGCGGGAAACAGCCAGCCUGGCAAACCUACACUCGUUCCUGAUUGCUGCUUCAGGCUGUGCUAAAUGAACCCUUGGGAAUGAAUACACAGAUUCCACGUGUAAGCUAAAGGAAGGAACAUCAAGCCUGCAGGAAAACUGACUCAAGAAUUCCUCCAGAAUUUCAUUCUCUUGCCACGCUCCCCAUUUCCCUACGGACACUUGUCAUCAUGUCAGCCCGGGUUCUAGGUUCUAUCUACCACACAAGGCCUUGGCCCAUUCUGCGUGUACUGGGCCCUGCCCAAAGCCUUGCCUGCCUCUGCCUUGCUCUUCUUAAAGCUAAACUAGACUUGGUCCUUUCCAUUCCAAAAUUAGCUUUCUUCUCCAAGGUUGGCACCUCCCUCUCACUCUGGGGCAACCCAAGUGAGACACUGGCAUAGACCUGAACCAUUGUUUCCAGGGGAGAGGAAGAAGGGAGAGGGCUUGGGAGCCUGGCUGCCCUAGAUUCAAAAGCAACCACUAGUUAGCUGUAUGACUUUUGGGAAUGUGUUGCCACUUCCAAGGCUCCAUUCCUUCUGGAGCAUUGGGGAUAUGAUCGAUUUUGAGGGCUUGCUGUCAAGGGAAAUGGGAAGGUGAAGGCUGAGCCUGAAAUGGAGAGCAGGCACUAUUGGGCUGAGAAGUCACACGGUUCCCCUGCCAGGGGAGCUGUCAACUCUCCUUGAUUCGGGAUGGGCAUGGAGACCAACUCCUUUCUGCUGUCAAUGACACUCAGCCAUAGAGCCCACGGUGGGCCUUUUCUGGAUUUCUACACUCCCCUGCCAAGAUGUCACCGAAGUGUCGCCAUUCUACAAAUGAUCGCUUUCACGUUCUCAGACAAAGCAGCUACACGUG